rnacentral:rRNA from 1 species
ACGGGUGAGUAAUGCAUCGGAAUGUACCCAGUAGUGGGGGAUAACCAGUCGAAAGACUGGCUAAUACCGCAUACGCACUACGGUGGAAAGCGGGGGAUCGCAAGACCUCGCGCUAUUGGAGCAGCCGAUGUCCGAUUAGGUAGUUGGUGGGGUAAUGGCCCACCAAGCCUUCGAUCGGUAACUGGUCUGAGAGGACGACCAGUCACACUGGGACUGAGACACGGCCCAGACUCCUACGGGAGGCAGCAGUGGGGAAUUUUGGACAAUGGGCGAAAGCCUGAUCCAGCAAUGCCGCGUGUGUGAAGAAGGCCUUCGGGUUGUAAAGCACUUUUGGCAGGGAAGAAAUUGUGCGUGCUAAUACCAUGCGCGGAUGACGGUACCUGCAGAAUAAGCACCGGCUAACUACGUGCCAGCAGCCGCGGUAAUACGUAGGGUGCAAGCGUUAAUCGGAAUUACUGGGCGUAAAGCGUGCGCAGGCGGCUUUGUAAGACGGAUGUGAAAGCCCCGGGCUCAACCUGGGAAGUGCAUUCGUGACUGCAAGGCUAGAGUGUGUCAGAGGGAGGUGGAAUUCCGCGUGCAGCAUUGAAAAUGCGUAGAGAUGCGGAGGAACACCGAUGGCGAAGGCAGCCUCCUGGGAUAACACUGACGCUCAGGCACGAAAGCGUGGGGAGCAAAACAGGAUUAGAUACCCUGGUAGUCCACGCCCUAAAACGAUGUCAACUAGUUGUCGGGGAUUCAUUUCCUUGGUAAACGCAGCUAACGCGUUGAAAUUGACCGCCCUGGGGAGUACGGUCCGCCAAGGUUAAAACUCAAAGGAAUUGACGGG